rnacentral:tRNA from 1 species
AGGGAGACCUAAUUCCGGUAGGAGACGAAAAAAAAGUAGUCCCUACCAAGAAUCAAUCCCAAAAGGUCGGAACGAGGUAUGAGGCUUUCAAACUAGGUUCUGGGUUCAUAAAAGACCUGAAUCAGGAACAAGGGCUAUUAGCUCAGGUGGUUAGAGCGCACCCCUGAUAAGGGUGAGGUCCCUGGUUCGAGUCCAGGAUGGCCCACCUGCACAGGUGGCAAAAACAAAAGAAGCGAGGAAUCAGCACCUUAUCUUAUAUACAUAUAUAAGAGAGAAUGCUGGCUCUGAGUACAGAGUCCAGAGGAACCUUGAAAACUGCAUAGAGCUAGGUGAAAAAGCCAAAAAAGAAGACCGCAA